rnacentral:lncRNA from 1 species
GGGUUUUUUCCUUUUUUUUACAUACGCAAUAUCAAUAUACAAAAAAAAAAGACUGGGUUUCGAAGGUGAUUUUCGAGUUUUUUUCUCGUUCUGUUCUUGCUCUUUUUUCAUAUACACACAUACUGAGUACAAAGAAAAGGGGGGGGGGAUUCACCAUUUCUUUUGCAUCUUGCACUGCACCUUUUUAUUUUUUUCUUUUUUUCUUAUAUACGAAAAGUA